GGUCGAUUAGCUUAGUCGGUAGAGCGUGGUACUAAUAAUGCCAAGGUCAUGGGUUGACCCCCAUAUUGACCA
rnacentral:tRNA from 1 species